rnacentral:rRNA from 1 species
UACGGGGGGGGCAAGCGUUGUUCGGAAUUACUGGGCGUAAAGGGCUCGUAGGCGGCCAACUAAGUCAGACGUGAAAUCCCUCGGCUUAACCGGGGAACUGCGUCUGAUACUGGAUGGCUUGAGAUUGGGAGAGGGAUGCGGAAUUCCAGGUGUAGCGGUGAAAUGCGUAGAUAUCUGGAGGAACACCGGUGGCGAAGGCGGGAUCCUGGGCCAGUACUGACGCUGAGGAGCGAAAGCGUGGGGAGCAAACAGG